AGUUGCUAAAAUGAAAUUCACGUUAACAGUAUUGUUGUUUUGCUUCGUAGUAACUGCAGCAAACAACAUCCCAGCAAAUGAAGCAUCAAUAGAAGAGACCAAAGAACAGGAUGCUGAUACUGUCAAAG